GAUCAAGUGAAUAAGUGCACAUGAUGGAUGCCUUGGCGAUUACAGGCGACGAAAGACGUUAUAACCUGCGAUAAGCCCCGGGGAGCUGGUAAAUAAGCUUUGAUCCGGGGAUUUCUGAAUGGGGAAACCCACCACUUUUGUGGUAUCCAUACCUGAAUACAUAGGGUAUGAGAAGCGAACCUUGUGAACUGAAACAUCUAAGUAGCAAGAGGAAAAGACAUCAACCGAGAUUCCCAAAGUAGUGGCGAGCGAAAUGGGAAGAGCCUUCUAGUGAUAGCUCAGUAAUUAACAGAAUAGAAUGAAAAGUCCAACAAUAAAGGGUGAUAGUCCCGUAUGUGAAAAUUAUUGGGUGGUACUAGGCUAGAGACAAGUAGGGCGGGACACGUGAAAUCCUGUCUGAAUAUGGGGGGCCCAUCCUCCAAGG
rnacentral:rRNA from 2 species